rnacentral:snRNA from 1 species
CAUAAAUACAGAGAUCAUUAGCAUGUUCCCUGCACAAGGACGACACGCAAAUUUGUGAAGUGUUUUUUCAUUUU